rnacentral:rRNA from 1 species
GAGUUUGAUCUUGGCUCAGGACGAACGCUGGCGGCAUGCUUAACACAUGCAAGUGGAGCGACGAACCUUUUGGGGCAAAGCCGCGAACGGGUGAGUAACACGUGGGCAAUCUGCCCCGAUGACUGGAAUAACCCGAGGAAACUCGGCUAAUACCGGAUGUGCUUGCACCUCAUCAGAGGUGUACGAGUAAAGGGAGCUUCGGCUAAUCCGCAUCGGGAGGAGCCUGCGGCGCAUUAGGUAGUUGGUGGGGUAAAGGCCUACCAAGCCGACGAUGCGUAGCUGGUCUGAGAGGACGAUCAGCCACACUGGAACUGAGACACGGUCCAGACUCCUACGGGAGGCGAGCAGUGGGGAAUCUUGGCACAAUGGGCGACAGCCUGAUGCAGCAAUG